GUUGCUUUGGCUGAGUGGUUAAGGCGUGUGCCUGCUAAGUACAUGGGGUUUCCAUGUGAGAGUUCGAAUCUCUCAAGCAACG
rnacentral:tRNA from 1 species